rnacentral:rRNA from 1 species
UACGUAGGUGGCAAGCGUUGUCCGGAUUUACUGGGCGUAAAGAGCGCGCAGGCGGUCGAUUAAGUCGGAUGUGAAAUCCCCUGGCUCAACUGGGGGGCGGUCAUUCGAUACUGCUCGACUUGAAGGCAGGAGAGGGAAGCGGAAUUCCCGGUGUAGUGGUGAAAUGCGUAGAUAUCGGGAGGAACACCAGUGGCGAAGGCGGCUUCCUGGCCUGUUCUUGACGCUGAGGCGCGAAAGCCAGGGGAGCAAACGGGAUUAGAUACCCUUGUAGU